GGUAACACGUGAAGAACCUGCCCUUCAGUGGGGGACAACAGUUGGAAACGACUGCUAAUACCGCAUAAGACCACAGUACCGCAUGGUACAGUGAUCAAAGGAUUUAUUCGCUGAAGGAUGGCUUCGCGUCCGAUUAGGUAGUUGGUGAGGUAACGGCCCACCAAGCCUACGAUCGGUAGCCGGACUGAGAGGUUGAUCGGCCACAUUGGGACUGAGACACGGCCCAGACUCCUACGGGAGGCAGCAGUGGGGAAUAUUGCACAAUGGAGGAAACUCUGAUGCAGCGACGCCGCGUGAGGGAAGAAGGUCUUCGGAUUGUAAACCUCUGUCUUCAGGGACGAUAAUGACGGUACCUGAGGAGGAAGCACCGGCUAACUACGUGCCAGCCGCGGC
rnacentral:rRNA from 1 species